CAGUUAAUUCAGAAACUUUAUUUUGCCAAGGUUGAAGAUGCGUGCCCGUGACACAGCCUCAGGGAGUCCUGGCGACAUGUGCCCAAGGUGGUCAGGGCACAGUUUGUUUUCAUACAUUUUAAGGAGACAUGAGACAUCAAUCGAUAUAUGUAAGAAGUACGUUGGUUCCGUCCAGAAAGGCGGGGACAACUCGAAGUGGGGAGGGGGCUUCCAGGUCGCAGGUAGCUGAGAGACAAAUGGUUGCAUUAUUUUGUUUCUGACAAGCCUCUCCAAAGGAGGCAAUCAGGUAUGUGUCUAUCUCAGCGAGCAGAGGAUGCUGCUGAACCCUGGGGUCGCUGGGGCCUUAAAUGACUUUGAUGAUGAGAGACUGGGCAUGGAGAGCUAGAGGCCCUCAUCUCCCUUCCCCAGCGAGUCGGAAGCGUCCCCAUUACUAGUUCCUAGAAUAUGCUGAGAUGUCUCAGGUUGCGGUGUGCAGCUGGGAGUUGCAGCCUGGCAGGAGGCCCAGGUUUUAGCCUGUGAACCGGGGCCCUGCUAUGUAGGCCAGGGUGGCUCUGACCUGGCACUCUGUGGGGCCAGGGCAGACAUAGCAGCAAAGGCCAUGGGGUCACAAAGAGAGAGACUGCAGAAGGAUCAGGAGUAACAGGCAUAAUGGGGCUAUUCUUCCCUAGGCCUGAACACUGGGAAGGCACUGGCAGGGCCCCGGUUUUGAUGGUGGAUUCUUGGAGUAGGGGCCUUGGUAAUAGGGCUCUGAGUGCUGGGGCAGAAUGGGCUAUCUUGACCCUUCAUAGUCAGGGUCCCAAGUGGGCAAUCCUGGAGCCUCCAGGUCUUUGGUCCAGCGGCGGGGUUUUCCACUCAAGGGCCACAGGUACAGACAAGCAGAGCAGAAACAGCCCCCCCGGCCUUUCACUUCCCACCUGCUCCCGAGGGAGAGAGUAAGGUUUCUGGGGGUAAGUGGGGGCUAUCUGAAAGAAAAGGGUGAUUUUGGCUGGGGCUCGGUGCCCUACAAGAGCCCUUGCUUGACUUUGACGCAAGGCACAGACUGGGCUCUGAAGGGGCAGGCUGGGGGGUAGACGUCGUCAUGGAUGUUGGAUCUCCCUUCCGGCCAUGGCCCAAGUACGACCCCUGUUCCCUUAAAGUCAGGACCUCGCAGAACUUUCGCAAGAUGGGUCCUCGGAGUCUGCCCGCGAUUGCGCUCCCAAG
rnacentral:lncRNA from 1 species